rnacentral:rRNA from 1 species
AGUACAGAGGGUUGCCAAGCCGUAAGGUGGAGCUAAUCCCUUAAAGCUACUCUCAGUUCGGAUUGUAGGCUGAAACUCGCCUACAUGAAGCUGGAGUUACUAGUAAUCGCAGAUCAGAAUGCUGCGGUGAAUGCGUUCCCGGGUCUUGUACACACCGCCCGUCACACCCCGGGAGUUGGAGACGCCCGAAGCCGAUUAUCUAACCUUUUGGAAGAAGUCGUCGAAGGUGGAAUCAAUAACUGGGGUGAAGUCGUAACAAGGUAGCCG